rnacentral:tRNA from 1 species
GAGGGUAUAGCUCAGUGGUAGGGUUUGUGCUUAGCAUGCACAGGGUCCUGGAUUCAAUCUCCAGUACCUCCA